rnacentral:lncRNA from 1 species
GGCGUAGGCCCGUGCCCCUGCUCGCGCUGCAGCCCGUGGAAGGGUUCCGUCCAGCGUAUCCUUCAGAUCUUGCUGUAGGCCUCUGGUGUCUGUGCGCGCGCGGCAGGGGCGGCGGCGGCGACGGCCGGAGGUGUACGGUCAGCGGGUUGCGGAGGAUCGUGCGGGUCGCAAAGGGAAGCCGAGUGCUCCUGCGGCUCCCAGACUGCAACCAGUUGCUUCCUCUACUGAAGUCUUGAAACCCCUGAAAGUCAUCCCUGAGGUUUGAAGUUAACUUCUUCUACACCCUGUUAAUGUUGAUAUUUUGACCUCCUUCCAUGAAUCACAAAUGUUCUUAAUGGCAUCUAGAAUGGUCUGGAAGCUCCGAGUUUAUCUUGGGAACUCAAGAGGAGAGGAUCACCCAGUUCACAGGUAUUUGAGGAUACAAACCCAUUGCUGGGCUCGGC